UCAAGCGAACAAGGGCGCAGGGCGAAUGCCUUGGCACUGGGAGCCGAUGAAAGACGUGAUAAGCUGCGAUAAGCUUCGGGGAGCUGCAAAUAAGCAUUGAUCCGGAGAUUUCUGAAUGAGGAAACUCACCUGGGUUCAUACUCAGGUACGUUAUACUGAACUUAAAAAUAGGUAUAUCGAGGGAACCGCCUGAACUGAAACAUCUAAGUAGGGCGAGGAAGAGACAUCAAACGAGAUUCCGUAAGUAGUGGCGAGCGAACGCGGAAGAGGGCAAACCGGGAGUAGAAAUACUUCCGGGGUACGGACCGCAUUUAGGACUUGAGUUGUUAACCGAACGGCAUGGGAAGGCCGGUCAGAGAGUGUGAGAACCACGUAGGUGAAAACGACAAGAGCUGAGCGAGUUCCAGAGUACGGCCAGACACGUGAAACCUGGUCGGAAUACGGGGGGACCACCCUCCAACCCUAAAUACUACCCAGUGACCGAUAGCGUAUAGUACUGUGAAGGAAAGGUGAAAAGCACCCCGGGAGGGGAGUGAAAAAGAACCUGAAACCCUGUGCCUACAAGCACCUAGAGCACGUCAAAGUGUGAUAGGGUACUUUUUGUAGAACGGUCCGGCGAGCGAUUGUAUGCAGCAAGGUUAAGGACUUAAGGUCUGGAGCCGAAGCGAAAGCGAGUUUGAAAAGGGCGUUAAGUUGCAUACAAUGGGCCCGAAACCGGGUGACCUACCCAUGGUCAGGUUGAAGUGGAAGUAAAAUUCCAUGGAGGACCGAACCGACCUCCGUUGAAAAGGCGGCGGAUGAACUGUGGGUAGCGGAGAAAUUCCAAUCGAACCCGGAGAUAGCUGGUUCUCCCCGAAAUAGUUUUAGGACUAGCCUCAAGUUAGAUACCUGGAGGUAAAGCACUGAAUAGCCUAGCGGCCGAGAGGUUAGCGAAGCUUAUCAAACUCAGAAUGCCAGAGUAUUGAUGCUUGGGAGUCAGACAGUGUCAGAUAAAUGUCAUUGUCAAAAGGGAAACAGCCCAGAUCUACAGCUAAGGUCCCAAAGUCAGGUUAAGUGGAAAACGAUGUGAAGAUACGUAGACAACCAGGAUGUUGGCUCAGAAGCAGCCACACAUUCAAAGAGUGCGUAAUAGCUCACUGGUCGAGCGUCUUUGCGCGGAGAAUUUAACGGGGCUAAACCUGACACCGAAGCUUAGGCAAUACAGCAAUGUAUUGGGUAGGGGAGCGUUGUAUACGCGGUGAAACAGUAGCGCAAGCGGCUGUGGAGUGUAUAGAAGUGAGAAUGCCGGAAUGAGUAGCGCGAAUGCAGUGAGAAUCUGCAUGGCCGAAAGCCUCAGGUUUCUGGAGGAAGGUUCGUCCGCUCCAGGUUAGUCGGGAGCUAAGGUGAGGCCUAACGGCGUAGCCGAUGCACAGACGGUAGAGAUUCCGUCACCACCAAAAGAGUUAAACACAGGGACACAUUUGAAGUCUCGGAGCCGGGUGUUGGUUCCGGUAGCGAUCGAGGGAAAUUAGUACCGAAGUCCGGGAUGGAAGAUGGCGAGAAAAGCUGUGUGUAUUUCUGCGGUGCCCGUACCGCAAACCGACACAGGUAGGUAGGAAGAAGAUUCUAAGGCCAACGGGAGAAGGGUUGUUAAGGAACUCGGCAAAUUGACCCCGUAACUUCGGGAGAAGGGGUGCUCCAGAGAUGGAGCCGCAGAGAAUCGGCCCAAGCAACUGUUUACCAAAAACACAGGUUUGUGCUAAAUCGAAAGAUGACGUAUACGAGCUGACGCCUGCCCGGUGCUGGAAGGUUAAGAGGAGAUGUGCAAGCAUUGAAUCGAAGCCCCAGUGAACGGCGGCCGUAACUAUAACGGUCCUAAGGUAGCGAAAUUCCUUGUCAGGUAAGUUCUGACCCGCAUGAAAGGCGUAAUGAUUUGGGCACUGUCUCGACAGCCCGCCCGGCGAAAUUGUAGUACCGGUGAAGAUGCCGGUUACCCGCGACAAGACGGAAAGACCCCAUGGAGCUUUACUGUAGCCUAAUAUUGGGUUUCGAUGUUGCAUGCACAGGAUAGAUGGGACACUGGGAAACAAGUGCUUUGGCAUUUGUGGAGUGGCCGUUGGGAUACCAUCCUUGCGAUAUUGGAAUUCUAACCUGCGCCUUUGAAUCAAGGCGGGGGACAUUGUUAGGUGGGCAGUUUGACUGGGGCGGUCGCCUCCUAAAGAGUAACGGAGGCGUUCAAAGGUUCGCUCAGCUUGAACGGAAAUCAAGCAAAAGAGUGCAAACGCAGAAGCGAGCCUAACUGCGAGACUGACGGGUCGAGCAGUAACGAAAGUUGGAGUUAGUGAUCCGGUGGUAUGUGAGUGGAAAUGCCAUCGCUCAACGGAUAAAAGUUACCCUGGGGAUAACAGGCUGAUCUCCCCCAAGAGUCCACAUCGACGGGGAGGUUUGGCACCUCGAUGUCGGCUCAUCGCAUCCUGGGGCUGUAUUCGGUCCCAAGGGUUUGGCUGUUCGCCAAUUAAAGCGGUACGCGAGCUGGGUUCAGAACGUCGUGAGACAGUUCGGUCCCUAUCUGUCGUGGGCGCAGGAUAUUUGAUGGGAGCUGUUCCUAGUACGAGAGGACCGGAGCGGACGUACCUCUGGCGCACCAGUUGUUCUGCCAAGGGCAUAGCUGGGCAACUAUGUACGGAUCGGAUAAACGCUGAAAGCAUCUAAGCGUGAAGCCGACCCAAAGAUAAGAUAUCCCAUUGUUUCAAACAAGUAAGACCCCUUGAAGACUACAAGGUUGAUAGGCACGAUGUGUAAGUGGAGCGAUCCAUUCAGCAAGCGUGUACUAAUAGGUCGAGGGCUUGACCAC
rnacentral:rRNA from 1 species